UAACGGCGAGUGAAGAGGAAAGAGCUCAAAGUUGGAAACUGUUUGGCUUAGCUAAACCGUAUUGUAAACUGUAGAAACAUUUUCCUGGCACGCCGGAUUAAUAAGUCCUUUGGAACAAGGCAUCAUGGAGGGUGAGAAUCCCGUCUUUGAUCCGAGUAGUUGUCUUUUGUGAUAUGUUUUCAAAGAGUCAGGUUGUUUGGGAAUGCAGCCUAAAUUGGGUGGUAAAUCUCACCUAAAGCUAAAUAUUUGCGAGAGACCGAUAGCGAACAAGUACCGUGAGGGAAAGAUGAAAAGAACUUUGAAAAGAGAGUUAAACAGUAUGUGAAAUUGUUAAAAGGGAACCGUUUGGAGCCAG
rnacentral:rRNA from 1 species